AGCACAAAAUGCAGGCAUCCCUCAAAAGAAACACAUCCAAAUGGUUUUGCAAGUACCAUUAGCUAACGUGGUUGAGUGUCUUUAUGUGUAGAAUUACGUAAGGAGUAUGGAAGGCAGGUCAAGACCAAAGUGAAAUGGUGCGCCUGCUUUCUUGGGGUCCACUUGCCAUGGAAGACACGUUCACUCAUUCGUUCAUCCCACAAAUACUGAAAUCUCACCAUGAGCUGGCUCUGCACUAGAUGUGGGGACAUGACCCUAAAAGGGAGGGAGGCAUAGCAAACUAGUAUAGUGAAAGGGAUAAUCUGUAUUGGUUUGAAAGGGAUAAACUCUCUAAAUAAUGCCUGUGAGGUCUUAGGAGGCUGGAGUGAUGAAACUGGAUUGCAUUUUUCCAGGAAGAAGACCUCCUUGAGAAGAAAACGGAACAUGGCCCUAACAGUGGGCAGCAUGAAACUGAGGAACACAGCAGGAAGCUGAUUUAGGCAAACUCAGCAGGAACUGGCCAGAGGCUGGUAGGAGGAUUAUUAUGGGCAGGCUGGCUUUCCUCAACUCUUAAUAACACCACCACUCCACACAGAAAAGAACUUCUCUUAUGACUGCCCUCUUUUCCUCAUAAAUCCCUCAAUGAGUUUUCUGAGAAUGGGCCCAAUGGGCUGGCUGUUCUGGAAGGACUUUAAUCAGCUUUCUUCAUGAUGGACUGGAGGGAAAGGAAGUGUUCCCUGUGAACCCAUGAGACUUCAUCCCUGCGUUGGUCUGGCUGGCUUUCCCUGUGAGAUACAGGUUCCUCCUGAAGAGCUGAAGCUCCAUUCCAGCUCUAGACUUCUCCUUGCUUUCAGACUUCAAGAUGAGAAGCAUUUUUCCAGUCCACAAGUGUUAGAGGACACUGCCGAUGAUGUGUGUUUUGCCCAGGCUGGACUCAGCUUCUUUGUCUCGGUAAAGGUUAAGUUUUCUUCAAUAUAAGAGGAAUCUAGAGAAACUGAGACCAUUAAGCAAAUUUUUAGAAGUAGAUGAGAAGGAAAGUUGGAAAACAAAGUACCCUUGCUUACAGAGAAACUAGGAGAUCACCUUAAUUAAGAAAGCACCUUAAUUUGGGGCAGAGAGGGGUUUAUAGAAAGUUGGUUGGAGAGAGUGGAGCUUGACGUAGAGCUAAUUUCCUGAAUUCUUGGGUUAAAGACUCCCCAUGGCAUCCCUCCCAAAAGCAGACAGCAGUAAAAGGAGCAGGUUUGAGCCAGGGAAGCUGAUGGUCUGGC